rnacentral:rRNA from 1 species
AUUGAACGCUGGCGGCAGGCCUAACACAUGCCAGUCGAACGGUAACAGGAAGCAGCUUGCUGCUUCGCUGACGAGUGGCGGACGGGUGAGUAAUGUCUGGGAAGCUGCCUGAUGGAGGGGGAUAACUACUGGAAACGGUAGCUAAUACCGCAUAAUGUCGCAAGACCAAAGAGGGGGACCUUCGGGCCUCUUGCCAUCGGAUGUGCCCAGAUGGGAUUAGCUUGUUGGUGGGGUAACGGCUCACCAAGGCGACGAUCCCUAGCUGGUCUGAGAGGAUGACCAGCCACACUGGGACUGAGACACGGUCCAGACUCCUACGGGAGGCAGCAGUGGGGAAUAUUGCACAAUGGGCGCAAGCCUGAUGCAGCCAUGCCGCGUGUAUGAAGAAGGCCUUCGGGUUGUAAAGUACUUUCAGCGGGGAGGAAGGGAGUAAAGUUAAUACCUUUGCUCAUUGACGUUACCCGCAGAAGAAGCACCGGCUAACUCCGU